rnacentral:rRNA from 1 species
CCUACGGGAGGCUGCAGUGGGGAAUAUUGGGCAAUGGGCGCAAGCCUGACCCAGCAACGCCGCGUGAAGGAAGAAGGCUUUCGGGUUGUAAACUUCUUUUAAGGGGGACGAGCAGAAGACGGUACCCCUUGAAUAAGCCACGGCUAACUACGUGCCAGCAGCCGCGGUAAUACGUAGGUGGCAAGCGUUGUCCGGAUUUACUGGGUGUAAAGGGCGUGCAGCCGGAGAGACAAGUCAGAUGUGAAAUCCACGGGCUCAACCCGUGAACUCCAUUUGAAACUGUUGCCCUUGAGUGUCGGAGAGGUAAUCGGAAUUCCUUGUGUAGCGGUGAAAUGCGUAGAUAUAAGGAAGAACACCAGUGGCGAAGGCGGAUUACUGGACGAUAACUGACGGUGAGGCGCGAAAGCGUGGGGAGCAAACAGGAUUAGAUACCCCAGUAGUC